rnacentral:rRNA from 1 species
AGCAGCCGCGGUAAUUCCAGCUCCAAUAGCGUAUAUUAAAGUUGUUGCAGUUAAAAAGCUCGUAGUUGAAUUUCGGGAUCAAUUUAUUGGUCGUGCUAUUGUACGUACUGGUAUUAUUGAUUUCUACCUUCUGACGAACCAUGAUGUCAUUAAUUUGGUGUCUUGGGGAAUCAGGACUGUUACUUUGAAAAAUUAGAGUGUUUAAAGCAGGCUCACGCUUGAAUACAUUAGCAUGGAAUAACGAAAUAGGACGUUUGAUUCUAUUUUGUUGGUUUCUAGGAUCGACGUAAUGAUUAAUAGGGAUAGUUGGGGGCAUUAGUAUUCAAUUGUCAGAGGUGAAAUUCUUGGAUUUAUUGAAGACUAACUACUGCGAAAGCAUUUGCCAAGGAUGUUUUCAUUAAUACAAGAACGAAAGUUAGGGGAUCGAAGACGAUCAGAUACCGUCGUAGU